GCCGCGGUGGUGAAAUUGGUAAACACACUGCGUUCAGGGCGCAGUCCUCGUAAGAGAUUGGGAGUUCAAAUCUCCCCCGCGGCA
rnacentral:tRNA from 1 species